UCAUUGCUCAGUUUUUAUCUUGAAAGUCAUAAUUUUCUUGAUUUUUAUAAUUGUAGCAAAAUAUAUGAUAUUUGCAGCAAUUUUGAUCGCUGCAUAUGUAAAAACAUGUUGCAACGCCUAAAUAAUAGUCGGUAUUACGUCUGGGUGCCAAAGUUCUCACGAAAUCAUGUUUUAUUUUUUCUCUGGAUUUCUUUCUUGCUUCUCCACUUCUCUCUAUUCUCUCCUUCUCCAAAAUCGCACGCCCAUCCCAAGCUUAGUUCCUCCACCCCAUUUUCAAAAAUUCAUUUCCCUUGUACGUAGUGUCUCUGCCCCUGAUGGUCCUCUGCGUCUGCGUUGUCUCCUUGCAUUUUUGCCCACCACCACCAUUUGUUGGCGCCAUCUUAGGUGGGUCUCUUACCCUCCCUCUCUCCUCUGCCUCUCUUCCCGACUAUCUCUCUCUCUCUCUCUCUCUCUCUCUCUCUCGACGUGCCCUAACACCUCUUGUGCAAAAAUCCCUAGAUUGAUCAGCCCCACCCACCGGCGACACCUUAUACUGCCACUUAACCUGCAACGUCACAAGAAACACAUGACUUUGGAUAUAGCCGUCAUCGUCCUGGAGAGAAACAAAGGGUUUUCAAACCUUAGUUUCAUCAAGAUUAAAUUAGAGCCUGAGGUAAAGAUCAAAUGCAAGAAAUGUGUGGUUUCGUUAGAGGAUAAUACGAGAAAGUCACUUCCUAUUUUGUGAGGUGAGAAAUGAUUGUAAGUGAUUGUAAAACUCUAUUUUUGAUGCAUUCUUCACUAAUAAAGUCUCAUAGAUUGUUCCUGCG